CUACUACUCCCUCCAUUCGAAAAUACUUGUCAUUGAAGUGGAUGUAUCUAGAUGUAUUUUAGUUCUAGACACAUCCAUUUUGAUGACAAGUAAUUCCGGACGGAGGGAGUAUUAU
rfam:Triticum aestivum genome assembly, contig: Triticum_aestivum_CS42_TGACv1_scaffold_149374_2BS